UUGAUAUCUCCAAGUGACUAACUUCAAUUUUCUGGAUCAUUUGGGUGUUGUGGUUUGUUGUUUAUGGUACUCUACUUUAAGGGAUCGAUCUGGAUCAUAGUAGGGAUACCUCUAGAGACGAUACGGUGCUACAUAGAGCCUUCCAAUCUUUUUUGUUUUAUGUCUCUACAAAAUCAGCUUGAGCUCCGCCUUACCCCUUUAGAGUCAUGAAGUUGGUCCCUUGGAGUUGUUGAGACAACGACUAUAGUUGAGGUCUAGCUUUUAUUGGUUAUUUGGUACAUACACUUGCCGGCGAGGCUUCCUUUACCUUUGUUUUCAAUGUUAGUUUUAAUGGUGUUUGGUUUGCACUGUGCUGUGCCUAGCAUUUGAGGGUCCUGUGGGUUUGAUUUCGACAAGGAUGCUGUUAGGAUGUUCGAAUCUAUUGCUUUGGAUCAGAGCUCCGCCUAGCCUAGCGUUUCUGAUGGGUUUAGGUGUUGGACAUGUUUCUAGUGGAUUAUGGGGGCUAGCUUAGUUUGGGACAUCUCUGUGUAUGGGUUUGGGCCGAGUCUAGUUAUUGUUCUCCAUCUGAUUGCGCUUUUGUUCAAUUUUGCAUGGGUUUAAUGUCAGUUAGAAUUGGUACCAUCCGACCAAGCGCAUGAUCCUUUAGCAAGACAUCAGUUUCUA
rnacentral:misc_RNA from 1 species